rnacentral:rRNA from 1 species
GGUCUUACCAUGCAAGUCGAACGAUGAUGCCCAGCUUGCUGGGCGGAUUAGUGGCGAACGGGUGAGUAAUACGUGAGUAACCUGCCCUUGACUCUGGGAUAAGCCUGGGAAACUGGGUCUAAUACUGGAUACUACCUCUUGCCGCAUGGUGGGUGGUGGAAAGGGUUUUACUGGUUUUGGAUGGGCUCACGGCCUAUCAGCUUGUUGGUGGGGUAAUGGCUCACCAAGGCGACGACGGGUAGCCGGCCUGAGAGGGUGACCGGCCACACUGGGACUGAGACACGGCCCAGACUCCUACGGGAGGCAGCAGUGGGGAAUAUUGCACAAUGGGCGGAAGCCUGAUGCAGCGACGCCGCGUGAGGGAUGACGGCCUUCGGGUUGUAAACCUCUUUCAGUAGGGAAGAAGCGAGAGUGACGGUACCUGCAGAAGAAGCGCCGGCUAACUACGUGCCAGCAGCCGCGGUAAUACGUAGGGCGCAAGCGUUGUCCGGAAUUAUUGGGCGUAAAGAGCUCGUAGGCGGUUUGUCGCGUCUGCUGUGAAAGCCCGGGGCUCAACCCCGGGUCUGCAGUGGGUACGGGCAGACUAGAGUGCAGUAGGGGAGACUGGAAUUCCUGGUGUAGCGGUGAAAUGCGCAGAUAUCAGGAGGAACACCGAUGGCGAAGGCAGGUCUCUGGGCUGUUACUGACGCUGAGGAGCGAAAGCAUGGGGAGCGAACAGGAUUAGAUACCCUGGUAGUCCAUGCCGUAAACGUUGGGCACUAGGUGUGGGGGACAUUCCACGUUUUCCGCGCCGUAGCUAACGCAUUAAGUGCCCCGCCUGGGGAGUACGGGCCGCAAGGCUAAAACUCAAAGGAAUUGACGGGGGCCCGCACAAGCGGCGGAGCAUGCGGAUUAAUUCGAUGCAACGCGAAGAACCUUACCAAGGCUUGACAUUCACCGGACUACCCCAGAGAUGGGGUUUCCCUUCGGGGCUGGUGGACAGGUGGUGCAUGGUUGUCGUCAGCUCGUGUCGUGAGAUGUUGGGUUAAGUCCCGCAACGAGCGCAACCCUCGUUCUAUGUUGCCAGCACGUGAUGGUGGGGACUCAUAGGAGACUGCCGGGGUCAACUCGGAGGAAGGUGGGGAUGACGUCAAAUCAUCAUGCCCCUUAUGUCUUGGGCUUCACGCAUGCUACAAUGGCCGGUACAAAGGGUUGCGAUACUGUGAGGUGGAGCUAAUCCCAAAAAGCCGGUCUCAGUUCGGAUUGAGGUCUGCAACUCGACCUCAUGAAGUCGGAGUCGCUAGUAAUCGCAGAUCAGCAACGCUGCGGUGAAUACGUUCCCGGGCCUUGUACACACCGCCCGUCAAGUCACGAAAGUUGGUAACACCCGAAGCCGGUGGCCUAACCCCUUGUGGGAGGGAGCCGUCGAAGGUGACG